rnacentral:lncRNA from 1 species
CAGGCUGGAGUGCAGUGGCACGAUCUUGGCUCACUGCAACCUCUGACUUCCUGGUUCAAGCGAUUCUCCUGCCUCAGCCUCCUGAGUAGCUGGGAUUACAGGCAUGCACCACCACACUCAGCUUAUUUUUGUAUUUUUAGUAGAGAUGAGGUUUCACCAUGUUGACCAGGUUGGUCUCGAUCUCCUGACCUCAUGAUUUGCCCACCUUGGCCUCCCAAAGUGUUGGGAUUACAGGUGUGAGCCACUAUAUCCGCCCCCACUAUCCUUUUUUCUACAUAUUCUUUCCAGAUCCAGGAAAGGGUUUGGGGGAGGGAAGCAGUCAUUUCUGGCCUUCUCUUGCCUUCUGACCUCCUGGCCACUGAAGCACACAAGCCAAUGCCACAUUUAAUAACCUUCAGAGACAGAUGUUUGUAAAGUGGAACCCUGGCUUGAUUAAUUCAAAUUGUGCCUAAAACCAAGGUUUAUUUUGUUUUAUUGCCUUAUAUUUGAAGUUUAAAUGUCUAGUGGUUAUUGAUCAACUUUUAUUAUGGAUUUACUGGCACAAAAAGGUGAUCUGAAAAAUGCUAACCUCUCCCACCUUGAAGGUUGACAAUUUAAACUAGUUCAGUAAAAGAUCUGAGAAGUCACGCAGUAAAGAAACUUGCUUGGCUUUAUUUCACCCAGUGUUUACCAAACUAAUUUUUUCAGCUAAGUUUCUUUCUUUUUUUUUUUUUUUGAGAUGGAGUUUCACUCUUUACCCAGGCUGGAGUGCAAUGGCACGAUCUCGGCUCACCACAACCUCCGCCUCCUGGAUUCAGGCAAUUCUCCUGCCUCAGCCUCCUGAGUAGCUGGAAUUAUAUUGUGUCCUCAUUCCUAAUCAUCAGAGAGGAAAAUGGAAUUAUGAUAAUGACUUAGAUAAGCGAUUCACAACCCAAGCUGCUCACAGCAUCAUUUGGGGAGUUUUCAAAAACUGUUAAACUCUAAACCAAUUAAAUCAGAAUCUCUGGAGAUGGGCCUGGGCAUCAGUAUUUUUAUAG